rnacentral:lncRNA from 1 species
GAGGAUGAUGAAGACACCUUGUCAGCGGCCACAGAGAGGGAAGAUACAGAGAGGCCUACUGAGAGCAAUGCUGGAAAUUACGAAGAAGAGGGUCCAUCCACCUCCACAGCACAACUUACCUCACUCCCUGUGAAACAGCUGUACAAGGUGUACUUAGAGAAACACAUUGAAAAAAUGUACUUCAUAAAUUGACCACAAGGCUGCAGAUGCAAAAGAUAAAAAUGGAAAUACAACUACUGGAAUAUCAGUUAAAGGCUGAUGAUAUCCAUGCCCUGUCGAUGGACACUAUACUUCAGGACGCAGAGAAGAUCACCAGCUCAGCUCAUCAAACUGUCCAAUCUCUGGAGGGGACAACAGACACUGCUCAAUCUGUGCUUGAUUUGGCCCAAGUGGCACCCAGCCAAAC